CCCUUAGAUGUUCUGGGCCGCACGCGUGCUACACUGAGUGGAUCAGCGGGUCAGGUUGCGCGAAAGUGUUUCCUAAUCUUUAAAUCCGCUCGUGAUGGGGAUUGACGGUUGCAAUUUUCCGUCAUGAACGAGGAAUACCUUGUAAGCGCGGGUCAUCAUCCCGCGCUGAAUACGUCCCUGCCCUUUGUACACACCGCCCGUCGCUCCUACCGAUUGAGUGGUCCGGUGAGGCUUUGGGAUCUGAGCGGAAAGAGCGUUUCGCUGUUUCUGCCCGGAAAACUCAGUCGAACCUUAUCAUUUAGAGGAAGGAGAAGACGUAACA
rnacentral:rRNA from 1 species